UUUAAUCCAUGUGUCGUUGUUCUCCCUCUUCUGAUUUCAUGUUUGCUCGAGUUAAUUGUUGGUUUGUCGUCUAAUUCCGUUGAUGCUUGCAACUUUGACGAUCUGCUUGUGUUUUCCAUCGGAUUUCUGCUAACCUUCCUAACGUGUUUGAGCGAUAAUAGACGAUCUAGCCGAUGGUUCAACCUACUUUUGAUAUUUGUGGUUUUCUUUAGAUUCUUCAGCUGAUUUGACCUACUCGGUUGUUUGCAACGCUUGAAGAUCAAAAGCGGUUAUCGUUUCAAGUUUUGAUGGUCUAUUUAGGUUAUGAUAUAUCCGUGGUAGUUCAUGGGCUUACUUUCGUUUGUAUCUGUAGGGGGAAAUCCCUUGGGUAGCUCGAGCUCGUGAUCUAUAGGUUCUGAUGGACAUAUUGGCAGUUUUUGGAAGCGCUUAUGAUUGGAAUUGUUGAGGAGGGUUGCAGACAUUUUCUGUUGAGGUGGCUAGAUUUAGUGACUGGGUAACUGCUUAAGCGAGUGAUUUAUUUCUGUUUUACUUGAACGGUAUUCCACCCUGUUCUCUUGUGUGCUGCCCUCAUGCCCAUUUACUCACGGUGUCUUGGUUUUGUGACCCCAUAUAUUUGAACAUUUACUAGUUCAUGGUGCCAUUCGCAAAUAUGGUGUCACUUUUGAUUUUCUCAGUCUAUUGAGGUCCCAAUUUGUCAUAUUUGGUUUAUUUUGUUUUGAUUCUAUAGGUAGACCGUAGACCAUCCCUCAUUCAUCUAGCAUUUUAUACCUAGGUUGUCUAGAAGCUUCAGUGACCAGAUAAGUAUCUUACGAUUGGUCAAGUUUUGGCUUAAUAAUUCCCUUUUUCAUUUGCAUUCAUUGCUAUUUAGCAACUUCAGGUCUGACUAACUCUGAUAUAUGUUCAAGCUGGAGCUAUUUUUGUCUGUUUAUGUAGUGCUUGAUGUGGGAGUGGAGUAGUGGUCUCAUGUCUAUACAGUCUAUUAGUAUAUUUUUAUCCAUGUUCUCCCCUCUGCUUAUAUUUGCCCAUCUAUUUUCAGAGGUUCGACUUUUAGGUGGUUCUAGUUGUUGACAAUGGAGAGGUCUGGUUUGACAAGCUUAUCUCUUUCUGUUUACCCUCAUAAAUCCUAAAUCAAAUAAUUUUUUUGGCACAUCUAACGUUGGGUGUUGACAAUUCUGUGAUUUUUCGUUCAUUUAUCUAGUGUGCAGAGUCCUAUGUGGAUCCCUAAUUAUGCUGUUAAAUCAGGUAUAUACUUGUAUUAGCUAGUGUUAGUGCUAAUGUAUCCUGUGUUAUGCUUUGUUGGGCAUUUUCCAGAGCAAGUGCAUGUGCUGAUGGUUGAUUUUGAGGAAUGAUAACAUCUACGUGAAGGUUUGACAAGAAUGACAAGAAAUAUGGUUGUUGUUUUUCAGUGUUAUAAUUACAUCAUUGCUAUCAGUUUCAUUUAAUUUUUCAGUUGACGUCCUGUUAUUUGAUUAGCAGCUUUGAGCGAGUCAUAUGACACCUUCUUUGGGGUUGUUGCUAUUAUUUCCUGCUGUUAUUUGUUGGGCAUGCACGAGUGCUAGUGCAUGUUAUUUAUGACUAACUUUGAGGGGUUAAAAACAUCUACAGAAAGGAUAGACAAAAAAGUUUGUGGUUUUUCUGUCAUAUCAUUCCAACAUUACUAGUGCUUUCAUUUUUCAAGCCAAUUCCAGUUAUUUGCUCAGCAGCUUUGAGCCAGUCAUGUAGGUACCUUCUUUGGGGUGGUUUCACUGUGCUACUUUGAUUUACCUUGAAGAUGGCUGACAUUUUAACACUAUAUAUUUGUUGUAGUUGGCUGUCUUUGUGAACAGGUUAAAUGCGUUCUUGUUUACAGUAUGCAGAGCAGUAUAGUAUAGUGUUUUUUUUCUACUACAUUCUGUCUUCUGCCUAAACCCUCCUUCCCUGCUUAUUAUUAUGCUCUUGGAUUUCCAGAUAUAUGAUAUCCGGGGUGGUUUGUAGUCAGCUUCCAUCAGAACAGUUGACUUUUGCCUGGUUUUGUUCCCUUUGUUCUGUUGCAAUCGUUUUUUAGUUUUUGUAGAUUGGAUAUUUCUCUCUCACCCUGUGGAAAUAUUAGGAAGAAGUUAUAUGGUUCCAUUCAAGUUGGAUCUUAUGGUGUGGCUAUCUUGGUCCUGUUGUUGGAAUAAAACUCUCUUUGUUACUGGCAUUGAUAUAGUAGUAUUUAUGGAGCGUAGCAGAGGGAGUAUUUCUACACCAUUUAUCUUCAAUUUAGGUUUCCUCUUGCUUAUUAUUGUACUCUUCAAUUUCCAGAGAUCUUUGAGUAGUUCUUGAUCAGUUUGCAUCAGAAGUCAGUUUUGGUUUGAAGCCUGGUUCCCUUAGCUUUGUAUUAUUCACACACAUUUAUCUUCCACCUAGAAUUUCAUCUUAUUAUUAUCCUCUUCAAUUUCCAGAGAUCUUCGGCGGUUCUUGAUCAGUUUCAAUCAGUAGAAGGCAGUUCUGGUUUUGUAGCUAGGUUUUCUUGCUCUGUUUUCUCAAAUUUUCCUUGCUAUGUAUAUGGAGAUUGUUUUCUCUCACCUUGUGACAGGUAAUAUUAGGAAUAAUUUAUCGUUCUAUGCCAGUUGAGGAUCUUAUGGUGCGGUUAUCUUGAACCUGUUGUUGGAAAAAACAUGAACUCUUAGAUGCCUGCAUUGAUAGUGUUAAUGGAGUAGCAGAGGGAGUAUAGUGUUUGUUCUACACCAUUUACCUUACUCCUAGACUAUCCUCUUGCUUAUCCCUAUCCUUGUUGAUUUCCAGAGAUCUUGGGUGGUUCUUGAUCAGUUUCCAUCAGAAGGCAGUCUGGUUUGAUGUUUGCCUCUCUUUGCUCCGUUUCAUCAAGUUCAGUUUCUAUGCAGAUAUGGAUAUUGUGUUUUUCGACUAACACUGUGACAGGAGAAACUAAGAGUAAAUUAUGGUUAAGCUGUCUUUGUCCUGUUGUUUGACAAAGACUACUGUCUGAUGCUGGCAUUAAUAUCAUGUUUAAGGAUGGUAGUAGAGGGAGUAGUACGUUCUUUCAUACACCAUUUUUCUUCCAUGUAGAAUUUCCCCUUGCUUAUUGUUAUGUUCUUCAAUUUCCAGAGAUCUUUGGGUGGUUCUCGAUCAGUUUCCAUAAGAAGGCAGUUCUGGUUUCAUGCUUGGUUCUCUUUGGUCUGUUUUGUCCACUUUACUUCUUUCUGUAGAUGUGAUUGCCUCUUUCUUCACCGGUGACAGGUGAUAUUGAGCUAUAUCCAAGUAGGAUCUUAAGAUAUCGAAUGCUGGCAUCUCCAUUAUGUUUAUAGAGGCUGACAGAGGGAGCAUAAUAUUUUUACUAAUCCAUUUAUUCUAAUAUCUGGACUUUCUUGUUGCUCAUUGUUAUGCCCUUCUUUUUUCAGUUCUAUCUUUUGAUGGGUCUUAAUUGUUUUCCACUGGAAGGCUGUUCUGUUCUGGUUUGGUAAUUGGUUUCCUCUGCUCCAUCUCAUCCACUUCUAUUUUUUCAUGUUGUGUUGUGGAUAUUGUUUCUGCCUCAAGCCUGUGAAAGGUGAUGUAAAGAACAAAAAGUGGGAAGAUUAAGGGCUGAUAUAUUCAGUAUAUUAAGUUACGUAACCUUAUUGCUUCAGAAAGUUUGUGAGAUAAGCCAAAGUGAGAUUUUUCUGGAGGAUUAAUUGAGCUUCAUUUCUUUUAAAGAUUGAAGUAAUGAUUAAUCUUGUGGCAAACUGUUCUUCUGGAGUAAUGGCUAUGUAUUUUUCAUAUGUUCUGGUACUAGCCUUCUUUUUUGCAUCUUCCUUUCUACAUUCCAAAUCACCUUUUUUUUUCUAGAACUAACCAUUUAGUAUCUUCGUUUUAUUCACAAUCUAUGCAGGGUGAUGCAUCUUAUCUCUAGGUGUCACUUCAAUUGAAGAUCACUUUCUUAGGAGUCCCUGUAUUUCAAAAACUUUUUACUCUAGAGUUCGUCUCCUAAUUUUUAUGCUGUUACUGACUCAUGCAUAUAUCUUUUCUAUGUUUUUUGCUGUGUUUUUUUGUACUCUAUUUGCAGAGGAUCGACAUCCAGUUGUUCCUUCCCAGUGACAAUGGAUAUAUCUGGUUUGACAGUCUUGCCCGUUUCCACUCAAUGACAAAUUCCAUAUUAGAAUCUCUAUCCUUUUGUUUGACCUCUUUGAAGACAGGAAAUCCGUACAUUGUUGGUUGUGCAUCUAACCCAAGCAAAGUUCAGCAUUCUUGAGUCUUGUCAUUAUGCUCAGUUAAGGUGUCCAAGUCUACAUGUCUACAUUCAGUCAUUUUCAGUAGUGGUUUAAAAGUUAUGUGGAUUAUGGAUAUAUGGCUACUACAUUCAGUAAUUUUACACAGAUAUCUAAGUUAAUGUGGAUUAUGGCGGAGCUCUGAUAUCUAGGGACAUGUGACAGUUGAUGAUGCAAAAUUAUCACUACUAGUAGCAGCUCUUCCUCAUUCAUAUACGUACUUUUGAUUUGCAACUGUGAGUGAGUGAUGAUUUACCUCAUCUUGUGCUCCCUAUGCUAUGCUGGCGAUGUGUAUGAGUCUGUGAGAUCAAUGUGCUACUAGUGAAGGACUGAUUGGGUUUGUGCUGUUAGGUCUGUCUUUUUGUUCAUUUGGAGGUCGUCAGGGGUCUUUCAUAUAUCUCUUCAAGGUGCUUGUUUCAAUAUUUUCGUACAUUUCCCGUGGAACAUCCUUACAUUGUUGUGGUUGUUUGCUCUGGCUCCCACCAUAUCUAACACUGCUUGGAGGUCUUUGUUUGAUGUCUGCACUGAAUGCUCAACUAAAAUCCUCUGACAGAGGGAGUGAAGUAGCUGCUAUGCUCCAUUUUGUCUUCUACCUUGUCUUUAUGCUUAUCUAUAGUUAUGCUCUGCUCCCGGAGGUUUGGUCAUUGGGCAGAUCUCUAUCAGAUUCAGGGAUUUUUGUGGCUAACAGAAAAGUUGUGGCUACUACUUUGACUGCGUUGAAUUUAGGUGUUCCGUGUCCUGGGUAUCCAUCUUGAGUCUUUCUCCUAUGGGUUCAGUCUUAUCUGCAGUGAUCUUUUCUCUUGAGUAUGUCGUGAUUAGUGCUUUGCUGCCACGGUUUAUCCAGUUUGCUAAGUGAAACUUUUGGACCAUGAAUAGAGCUUGAUGCUAUGAUAGAGACGCCAAAGUGGUGUAGGACAUUGUUUGAUAAGAAGCUUCUGUACUUUUUGCUGCCUAAUAUGAUUUGAUUGUGAGGGAUUUCGUUGGUCCAGCAAGCAUGACAGUUUGUGGUCGUUUUAUGUCUUUUCCGUCUAUUUUAGGAUAAUGUUAUCCUUGUUACUGUGGAGCUGCUAUUUCUGGUUUGGAUGCUCACAAUUCAGAAUCAUGCUUAGGCCGACUUCUAGUAGGCCUUACAACAUUGUAAUGGUACAUCUGUUGCUUGCUAAUGGCUAUCUUCAAGCCCUAUCUAUAUUGGGAAAAAAAUGCUUAGGCUGACUUGUAGUAGGUCUUACAACAUUGUAAUACAUCGUUUGCUUCCUAAUUGCCAUCUUGAAGCACUAUAGAAUGCUGUUCGUUUUGAUAAUUACUGUAUUUAUCUUCAGUUCAGUUUUUCAGUUCCAUUGCAUACUUGUUCAUGUUACUACAUGAUUGCAAGCAUCUCAUGGUAUUUAGACUAGGAUAAUUUAGGAUGUACUCCUUGCUUGUACGGAUUAUAUCAAGUCUAUGCAACUGAACUAUAAGGUGACUAUUAAGGAUUAUAUUUUUAAUACAUGAUACUUGACAACUUGUUUUGAGUUGUACAUUUGCUUAGUAA